AAUGAACGCUGGCGGCGUGCUUAACACAUGCAAGUCGUGCGCGAAGAAGGCUUCGGCCUUCGGAGAGCGGCGAACGGGUGCGUAACACGUGGACAACCUGCCCAGAAGUGGGGGAUAACUUGGGGAAACUCGAGCUAAUACCGCAUGCGUCUGCGAGGCCUCGGCUUCGCUUGCAAAGGUGGCCUCUACUUGUAAGCUACCGCUUUUGGAGGGGUCCGCGGCUGAUUAGCUAGUUGGUAGGGUAAUGGCCUACCAAGGCGACGAUCAGUAGCCGGCCUGAGAGGGUGAUCGGCCACACUGGAACUGAGACACGGUCCAGACUCCUACGGGAGGCAGCAGUGGGGAAUAUUGGACAAUGGGCGCAAGCCUGAUCCAGCAACGCCGCGUGGAGGAUGAAGGUCUUCGGAUUGUAAACUCCUGUCAGGCGGGACGAAGGGCUCCGACCUAAUACGUCGGAAUCUUGACGGUACCGCCAGAGGAAGCCCCGGCUAACUCCGUGCCAGCAGCCGCGGUAAUACGGAGGGGGCCAAAGCGUUAUUCGGAAUUAUUGGGCGUAAAGGGCGCGUAGGCGGCCCUGUAAGUCAAAGGUG
rnacentral:rRNA from 1 species